AGUAGGUUUCUUCUAGGGCGUAGACAUCCGCUAAGAACGAAUUUUAUGAAACUCGACUCCUAAGGGGAUGAAACGGGGGUUGGAAGUUUCUACGACAGUCCUAUGUUUUUGAAGUAAGAGACUUGAAAUUUAAAAUAUAUGCUCUAUAGAUGAUGAGAAGGUGUUCAAAUAAUAUAUCUUUAGAAAUCAACUCCUUUUUGGGGUUGAAUCGGG
rnacentral:misc_RNA from 1 species